rnacentral:rRNA from 1 species
UACAGAGGGUGCGAGCGUUAAUCGGAAUUACUGGGCGUAAAGGGCGCGUAGGCGGCCUUCUAAGUCGGACGUGAAAUCCCUCGGCUUAACCGAGGAACUGCGUCCGAUACUGAAAGGCUUGAAUCCGGGAGAGGGAUGUGGAAUUCCAGGUGUAGCGGUGAAAUGCGUAGAUAUCUGGAGGAACACCGGUGGCGAAGGCGGCAUCCUGGACCGGUAUUGACGCUGAGGCGCGAAAGCUAGGGGAGCAAACGGG